rnacentral:rRNA from 1 species
GACGAACGCUGGCGGCGUGCUUAACACAUGCAAGUCGAACGGAAAGGCCCUGCUUGCGGGGGAUUCUCGAGUGGAGAACGUGUGUGUAACACGGGAGUAACCUGCCCUUGACUUUGGGAUAACUUCAGGAAACUGGGGCUAAUACGGGAUAGGAGCUCCUGCGGCAUGUUGGGGGUUGGAAAGUUUGGGCGGGUGGGGGGGGACUCCCGCCUUAUCAGCUUGUGGGUGGGGUAGUGGCUUACCAAGGCAUUGCCGGGUAGCCGGCCUGGGAGGGUGACCGGCCAAAUGGGGACUGAGAUCCGGCCAAGCCUCCUACGGGAGGAAGAAGGGGGGAAUAUGGCACAAUGGGCGGAACCCUGAUGAACCAACGCCGCGUGCGGGAUGACGGCCUUCGGGUUGUAACCCGCUUUCCCCUGUGACGAAGCGUGAGUGACGGUAAUGGGUAAAGAAGCACCGGCUAACUACGUG